GCUCGAGUGGUGGCCGCUUUUACUGGGCUUAAAGGGUCCGUAGCUUGAUUCAUGGGUCCCUUGAGAAAUCUAUCGGCUUAACUGAUAGGCGUUCAGGGGAAACUGUGAUUCUAGGGACCGGGAGAGGUGAGAGGUACUGCCGGGGUAGGAGUGAAAUCCUGUAAUCCCGGUGGGACGACCUAUGGCGAAGGCAUCUCACCAGAACGGCUCCGACAGUGAGGGACGAAAGCUGGGGGAGCAAACCG
rnacentral:rRNA from 1 species